rnacentral:rRNA from 1 species
UACGUAGGCAGCAAGCGUUGUUCGGAGUUACUGGGCGUAAAGGGUGCGUAGGUGGCUCUAUAAGUAUGGUGUGAAAUCUCCCGGCUUAACUGGGAGGGUGCGCCGGAAACUGGAGUGCUCGAGCGUGGGAGAGGAAAGCGGAAUUCCUGGUGUAGCGGUGAAAUGCGUAGAUAUCAGGAGGAACACCUGCGGUGUAGACGGCUUUCUGGACCAUUGCUGACGCUGAGACACGAAAGCGUGGGUAGCAAACAGG